rnacentral:rRNA from 1 species
UCAAGUUAUUAAGGGUGCAGGGCGGAUGCCUUGGCACUAGGAGCCGAUGAAGGACGUGAUAAGCUGCGAUAAGCUUCGGGGAGUUGCACGUAAACUUUGAUCCGAAGAUUUCCGAAUGAGGAAACUCACUUAGAGUAAUGUCUAAGUAUCAUUAAGUGAAUACAUAGCUUAAUGAGGGGAACUCAGGGAACUGAAACAUCUAAGUACCUGAAGGAAGAGAAAGAAAUUCGAUUCCGUAAGUAGCGGCGAGCGAACGCGGAUUAGCCCAAACCAAUAAAGUUUUCUUUAUUGGGGUUGCGGACAUAUCAUAACGAAGAGGUAUCGUAAUUGAAGAGGUUUGGAAAGACCCACCACAGAAGGUAAUAGUCCUGUAUGUUAAACGAGAAGACUUCAGAUAUGAUCCAGAGUACCACGGGACACGUGAAACCCUGUGGGAAGCAGGAGGGACCACCCUCCAAGGCUAAAUACUACCUAGUGACCGAUAGCGUAUAGUACCGUGAGGGAAAGGUGAAAAGAACCCCGGGAGGGGAGUGAAAUAGAACCUGAAACCCUGCACUUACAAGCUGUGGAAGCACAUUUCUUGUGUGACCGCGUACUUUUUGUAGAACGGGCCAACGAGUUACGUUAAGUAGCAAGGUUAAGCACUUAAGGUGUGGAGCCGUAGCGAAAGCGAGUUUUAACUGAGCGUUCAGUUACUUGACGUAGACCCGAAACCGGGCGACCUACCCAUGAGCAGGAUGAAGCGAAAGUAAAAUUUCGUGGAGGUCCGAACCCACGAGCGUUGAAAAGCUCGGGGAUGACUUGUGGGUAGCGGUGAAAUUCCAAUCGAGCCCGGAGAUAGCUGGUUCUCCCCGAAAUAGCUUUAGGGCUAGCCUCAAGGUGAGAGAUACGGAGGUAGAGCACUGAAUGUCCUAGGGGGUAUUGCACCUACCGAAGACUAUCAAACUCCGAAUGCCGUCAUCUUAUACUUGGGAGUCAGACUGUGGGUGAUAAGAUUCAUAGUCGAAAGGGCAACAGCCCAGAUCGUCAGCUAAGGUCCCUAAAUGUAAGUUAAGUGGUAAAGGAUGUGGGAUUGCACAGACAACCAGGAUGUUGGCUUAGAAGCAGCCACUCAUUCAAAGAGUGCGUAAUAGCUCACUGGUCGAGUGAUCCUGCGCCGAAGAUUUCCGGGGCUAAAACUUACUACCGAAGCUACGGCAUCAGUAAUGAUGGGUAGGGGAGCUUCCCAUACGGGUUGAAGCAUGACCGUAAGGACAUGUGGACAGUAUGGGAGUGAGAAUGUUGGCAUGAGUAGCGAGAUGUGGGUGAGAAUCCCACAGGCCGUAAACCCAAGGUUUCCAGGGGAAGGUUCGUCCGCCCUGGGUUAGUCGGGACCUAAGCUGAGGCCGAAAGGCGUAGGUGAUGGACAACAGGUUGAUAUUCCUGUACUACCGAUAACCGUUUGAGAGAAGGGAUGACACAGUAGGAUAAGCUAAGCACACUGUUGGUUAUGUGUGCCCAAGCAUUGAGGCAGUCAAAGUAGGCAAAUCCGCUUUGAUAAUGCUGGGAUGUGAUGGGGAGCGAAAUUUAGUAGCGAAGUAGCUGAUUUCACACUGUCAAGAAAAGUCUCUAUCGAGGUUAAAGGUACCCGUACCGCAAACCGACACAGGUGGGUGAGGAGAGUAUCCUAAGGCCAGCGAGAGAACUGUUGUUAAGGAACUCGGCAAAAUGACCCCGUAACUUAGGGAUAAGGGGUGCCACCAUCAGGUGGCCGCAGAGAAUAGGCCCAAGCGACUGUUUACCAAAAACAUAGGUUUCUGCUAAGUCGCAAGACGAUGUAUAGGAGCUGACGCCUGCCCGGUGCUGGAAGGUUAAGGGGAUCUGUUAGAGCAAUCGAAGCAGUGAACUUAAGCCCCAGUAAACGGCGGCCGUAACUAUAACGGUCCUAAGGUAGCGAAAUUCCUUGUCGGGUAAGUUCCGACCCGCACGAAAGGCGUAACGAUUUGGGCACUGUCUCAACAACAGACUCGGUGAAAUUGUAAUUCCGGUGAAGAUGCCGGAUACCUGCGACAGGACGGAAAGACCCCAUGGAGCUUUACUGUAGCUUGACAUUGGGUCUUGGUACUACAUGUACAGGAUAGGUGGGAGGCUUUGAAACCAGGACGCCAGUUUUGGCGGAGCCAUCCUUGGGAUACCACCCUUGUAGUACUGGGACUCUAACCAUAGGCCAUGAAUCUGGUCUUGGGACACUGUCAGGUGGGCAGUUUGACUGGGGCGGUCGCCUCCCAAAAGGUAACGGAGGCGCUCAAAGGUUCUCUCAGUACGGUCGGAAAUCGUACGUAGAGUGUAAAGGCAAAAGAGAGCUUGAUUGCAAGACAUACAGGUCGAGCAAGGAUGAAAAUCGGACUUAGUGAUCCGGUGGUUCUGCGUGGAAGGGCCAUCGCUCAACGGAUAAAAGCUACCCUGGGGAUAACAGGCUUAUCUCCCCCAAGAGUCCACAUCGACGGGGAGGUUUGGCACCUCGAUGUCGGCUCAUCACAUCCUGGGGCUGUAGUAGGUCCCAAGGGUUGGGCUGUUCGCCCAUUAAAGUGGUACGCGAGCUGGGUUCAGAACGUCGUGAGACAGUUCGGUCCCUAUCCGUCGCAGGCGUAGGAAAUUUGAGAAGACCUGUCCUUAGUACGAGAGGACCGGGAUGGACGUACCUCUGGUGUACCAGUUGUCCUGCCAAGGGCAUGGCUGGGUAGCUAUGUACGGAAUGGAUAAGCGCUGAAAGCAUCUAAGCGCGAAGCCAACUUCAAGAUAAGAUUUCCCACCGCAAGGGUAAGACCCCAGAAAGACUAUCUGGUUGAUAGGUCGAAGGUGUAAGUGCAGCAAUGUAUUUAGCUUAUCGAUACUAAUAGGUCGAGGACUUGACCAA